GAUGAACGCUGGCGGCGUGCCUAAUACAUGCAAGUCGAGCGAAGCGGGGACGGGUGAGUAACACGUGGAUAACCUCCUAUAAGACGGGGAUAACUUCGGGGAACCGGAGCUAAUACGGAUACUUAUAGCUGGAUCCGCGCUGCAGUAGCUAGUUGGUAAGGUAACGGCUUACCAAGGCAACGAUGCAUAGCCGACCUGAGCGGGUGAACGGCAAAACUGGAACUGAGACACGGUCCAGACUCCUACGGGAGGCAGCAGUAGGGAAUCUUCCGCAAGGGGCGAAAGCCUGACGGAGCAACGCCGCGUGAGUGAUGAAGGGCUUCGGAUCGUAAAACUCUGUUAUUAGGGAAGCGGUACCUAACCAGAAAGCCACGGCUAACUACGUGCCAGCAGCCGCGGUAAUAC
rnacentral:rRNA from 1 species